AUUGAACGCUGGCGGCAUGAUUUACACAUGCGAGUCGAACGGUAACAGGCCGCAAGGUGCUGACGAGUGGCGAACGGGUGAGUAAUGCAUCGGAACGUGCCCAGUCGUGGGGGAUAACUACUCGAAAGAGUAGCUAAUACCGCAUACGAUCUAUGGAUGAAAGCGGGGGACCGUAAGGCCUCGCGCGAUUGGAGCGGCCGAUGUCAGAUUAGGUAGUUGGUGGGGUAAAGGCUCACCAAGCCAACGAUCUGUAGCUGGUCUGAGAGGACGACCAGCCACACUGGGACUGAGACACGGCCCAGACUCCUACGGGAGGCAGCAGUGGGGAAUUUUGGACAAUGGGCGCAAGCCUGAUCCAGCAAUGCCGCGUGCAGGAAGAAGGCCUUCGGGUUGUAAACUGCUUUUGUACGGAACGAAACGGCUCUGGUUAAUACCCGGGGCUAAUGACGGUACCGUAAGAAUAAGCACCGGCUAACUACGUG
rnacentral:rRNA from 1 species